rnacentral:misc_RNA from 1 species
AAUUGCUUGUAACACUUGAAAAUUAACAAGCCUGAUUUAUUGCCACAGCUGAUAUCCACUAUUAGAUAAGAUAUGGAAAAGCAAAUUCGCUAAGAAUGGCCCACAUAUUGAGUACCCCAAGUAGACAAAAUUAAAAAUGAGACAUUUAGGUAUCACGUCUCAACAGUUUAGUGCAUUCAGCAAGUGAUAUAAGCAAUAUGAAAUAUCAUAAGCGCAGGAAAAAAAAUUUGAAAGAAUGAGAAUUUUGUAUCAUAUAUACGUUAGAGAAUAAUUUGAGGGAAGGCUGGAAAUGACUAAUAUUGUCACUGCAACAGGAAUUAAUAUACCAGCUUUGAGCUGAAAUACAACUUAUAAAAGAAAGGAACCACAAAACAAGAAUGAUGGAAAGCCAUAUUGCAUAAAACUAAAACUAAAACACUGUCAUGCCAAAUCAAUAAGAAUACAGAAUCAUACCCAAGCAGUUCUAUUCUCACAUAACUCCACAACACCCAUUCAACUAUCUGGUGAUUUGAAGUGCUCAGAAACAGUCUCUAAAACUAACAAAUUUAUGCCAAGUAAGCCCAAAUUUGAGCUUGCAAGAUCACAAUUAGAAACUCAAAUCUUUUC